AGUUUAGGUGAAAUUUUGAGAGAAUGAAAAAAACUAAAAAAAACAUUGCGUGCAUAUGUUUUUUUAUCAACUGAAUUAUUGAGGUAAUGGCCAUUAUCGUUACUUAAUGGUAAAUAUCGGCUGUUACCGUUAUGUAAUGGUGGUAACGGCCGUUACUAAUGCAACUCAGUAUCUGCCUUUAAACAACAGGGUAAACGAUAAUGGCCUCUUGAAAAGCCAUUACGUCCGUUAUUUAGAAGCAUGGACAUGUAGGAAACAUAUUGGAUUUUUAGGGUUUGUAUCAAUGCAUUGGUAGCUUGAAUUUAGUUUGUGUCCUGGUUUGGUCCUUAUUAUGUGAACAAAUGACAUGACCAACAAUUGGCGGCCUUUCAGUGCAGAAGGAAGCAAUGGAGGAAAUGAUUCAAUGCAAUCCACACCUAACAUUACAAAUUAUUCAAUUCAAAAUUUUCAUGAUAAAUUCUUGAGAAUGUGUUGUGAUUACAUUAAUGUUUAUAUCUAUUUUUGGGCUCUUAGUAGUCCAUCAGAACUAGGAUUAUUAGCAUAGACACUAUUAAAAUAGGACUCUUUGACAUAAAAUCAGGCAAG
rnacentral:misc_RNA from 1 species